rnacentral:rRNA from 1 species
UACGUAGGUCCCGAGCGUUAUCCGGAUUUAUUGGGCGUAAAGCGAGCGCAGGCGGUUUGAUAAGUUUAAAGUGAAAGGCUGGGGCUUAACCAUAGUAUGCUUUGGAAACUGUUUAACUUGAGUGCAGAAGGGGGGAGUGGAAUUCCAUGUGUAGCGGUGAAAUGCGUAGAUAUAUGGAGGAACACCGGUGGCGAAAGCGGCUCUCUGGUCAGUAACUGACGCUGAGGCUCGAAAGCGUGGGGAGCAAACAGG